UUUCGUUUUCCUCUCCCUUUGCUUCUGUUCCUCACGUUUUUCUUUGCAUUUUAUUUGGUUGGAUGAUAAAAAUGGAGUUCCAUGUGAGUUUUGGGUUGAAAAGAGCUUAACUUGAUGUGUGGGUGUUGUAGUUUGGGCUCUUUCUUCUUGAUUUUCGGUUUUGAUGUUUGAAGCAAGGAUGGGACCAGAUUGUUGUGUUGUUAUGGUAGCUGGACAGAGCUGGAGUGAUGGCUUAAGUAUUAUUUUCGUUUUUGCAAAGAAACUUGAAGAAAUGGUAGUGUUGAAGUUGGGUUGAUGAGUAGAAGUUUGGGUUAAUUGUUCUUAUGUUCAUUUGCAAC
rnacentral:lncRNA from 1 species